rnacentral:rRNA from 1 species
UCCGUCGUGAAGAGGGAAACAACCCAGACCGCCAGCUAAGGUCCCAAAGUCAUGGUUAAGUGGGAAACGAUGUGGGAAGGCCCAGACAGCCAGGAUGUUGGCUUAGAAGCAGCCAUCAUUUAAAGAAAGCGUAAUAGCUCACUGGUCGAGUCGGCCUGCGCGGAAGAUGUAACGGGGCUAAACCAUGCACCGAAGCUGCGGCAGCGACGCUUAUGCGUUGUUGGGUAGGGGAGCGUUCUGUAAGCCUGCGAAGGUGUGCUGUGAGGCAUGCUGGAGGUAUCAGAAGUGCGAAUGCUGACAUAAGUAACGAUAAAGCGGGUGAAAAGCCCGCUCGCCGGAAGACCAAGGGUUCCUGUCCAACGUUAAUCGGGGCAGGGUGAGUCGACCCCUAAGGCGAGGCCGAAAGGCGUAGUCGAUGGGAAACAGGUUAAUAUUCCUGUACUUGGUGUUACUGCGAAGGGGGGACGGAGAAGGCUAUGUUGGCCGGGCGACGGUUGUCCCGGUUUAAGCGUGUAGGCUGGUUUUCCAGGCAAAUCCGGAAAAUCAA